UGCAGCUGAGUGACAGGAAGGGAUGCAGCCAGGAUCCACCCCUUCCCAGACCUCAUUUAAGGGUUGGCACUGGAAGGGCGGGUAUCUUUUUGGAGAUUCUGGCCUACCUGAGGCUUUUUGAAGGCAGGCCUUCGUAACGGCGUGAGUCUCGUGUGUGGUGAAUUAAAGUAAGACUUCUCUGAGCACAGGAUGUACUACAUAUUGAGAAGGACAUUUCCGUGGGAAAACAGGUCUCCAUUACGCUUAGCACAGGGAACAACCAUCGAGAACUUGCCCUUCACCUUGAACUUGUGAGUAAAAUAACAUAACUUAUUGAAAGUGCAGAAGUCAUUAGGAAGUCAGUAUUGCAUGUAACUCUAAGAACUGCAUUUUCUGGCCUGAAUUGUCUACAUGUUGCACUUUUAAUUCAGCUGCUAUUUAUCAUUAACUGGCUUUGUGUUUGGUUAGUUAAUUGCAGACUCUUGCAGAAAGAUACAAUAUACUAUACAUUUAACACAGAGGCAGAACCUCACCACUGUUCUAUUUCUUUUGGUAAUAAGCUCAAGGCAGAACACUAAGUAUUUUUGUCAUUUGCAUUGGAGUUCAGUCUCAGCUUGGGCCAAAGGUCCACAGGAACUAACUUACUGAGAUUCAUCACAAAGAGCUUUGCCAAGAAGCACAAGCUCAGGUUACCUAGCAAGAAAACAGAGUUUUUUGUGAACUUCUCUUAAGUAAAGAAAGCAAAGGUUCUUCUUGCAAGACAGCCACUGCCACUCCACUCUCAGGAGAGCACACUCACCUUUGAGCUUGGAAAGCUCUCCCGAAUUAAGCAAACAUUUCUAUCCAAAAAGUACAACUGCAGCAAUACAAACAGUGGCAAUGCAGAUGGCAGUUUUAUUCAGCACACCAAGCAAGCCUGAUGCACUGUACACUUGCAGUAGAUAACUUCUGAAAACCAUUACCAAUUUGUCUCCCUCUUUCUUUUACAGAGCGUGCUGCUGUGCCAAAUAGCCAACAGAUGAAGCAAUCAUCGUUCUCACUUUUCACAUUCCCCAAAAUAAAUAACGCCAGCAUCAAGGGACCCAGGCCCAAGCACAGAAAGACAGCGCACCCUGUUUUUUUUCGGCGGUAAGCAAGGAUUUACCAUUGUUUUAAGUCAGAGAUGGUCAGGUAUCCACUUCACCACAAAAACCUGAGCUAGCUAAGUCUAACUGUUCCAUUUUAGCACAGAUAUCAUAGGCACCCGGGUUCCCACUCACAGCAGAGCAUUUGCACUGGCAGUAGAAAAAGAAAGCCUUCUCAAUCCAAUACUUUUUCUUGAUAAAGGGAAGUAUCAUUACCCACUUCCCACCUUGCAAAAGUAAGCUUAGUUACCACUACUUUGGGGGCAUACUUUGAAAUGAAAAGAGGGGAAUUUUAUUUGAAAGAUCUCCUCUUGCUGAAUUGAGUAGACUUAUCAAAGAGUUAGACCUAGAUUUUCACCAUUUUAAAAAUCUUUAGUUUUUAAGUUGCUUGUCCCAUGACUCAAUUGGGUGCAUUUUACAGGAGGCAUGCUCUUAAUUACUAAGCGAAACCUUACCCUACCCACACAGAGUUUUCUGCAUUUACUUAUAUCAAGUAAAUUUUCUGCAUUUACUUAAAAAAAUUAAAUUGAUAGUGAAGUAGUUGAAUUGGCCUCAGAGCUACCCAAAAGGAGCUUUCACUGGAAUUUUCAUUUUGAAUUUCCCCAUUAGGCCAAUUACUUCACCCUAAGAGGUAACAGCAAAAAGCUACAGAGCACAGCAGCAGCUUUCAUCCUUCCUUACCACCUCAGCCUAAGUAGCUUGCCAAUACUAAAAACCAUCCACAGCAUAUACAGGACAAAGAUACACACCACAGGAUCAUUUCACCUUCAGCCACUUAACCAAGCCUCUCCAGGAGCAAAAUCCGACAGCCCUCCAGGCACAUUCAAUUACUAAACAGAGCAAGCAUCCUCUCAUGCCAGUGAGUACUUGAAACAGGCUUUUAGCUGAGGUUUGAAAUAAUCUGACUUUUCUCCUUCAGCAGGACACAGAACCCAGUUCAUCUCAUCUUUAUCUCAUUCCUUUGCAACCAGGAACAUCAAGAGCCACUCCAAGAUCUAGGGAAGAGAUCACACUCAGGGGAGCCCCAAUAGACACUGGGGCUCCCCCACUCCCCCACUUAGGGGGAGCCCCAAUAGACACUGGGGCUCCCCCACCCCCCCACUUAGGGGGAGCCCCAGUGGGCACUGGGGCUCCCCCACUCCCCCACUUAGGGGGAGCCCCAGUGGGCACUGGGGCUCCCCCUCAGCCCUUCCCAGGGCUGCUCCAGCCCAGCCAGAAGAAGAAAAAUUUCCGUUACUGAC